rnacentral:rRNA from 1 species
GAUGAACGCUGGCGGCGUGCCUAAUACAUGCAAGUCGAGCGAACAAACGAGGAGCUUGCUCCUCUGACGUUAGCGGCGGACGGGUGAGUAACACGUGGAUAACCUACCUAUAAGACUGGGAUAACUUCGGGAAACCGGAGCUAAUACCGGAUAAUAUAUUGAACCGCAUGGUUCAAUAGUGAAAGACGGUUUUGCUGUCACUUAUAGAUGGAUCCGCGCCGCAUUAGCUAGUUGGUAAGGUAACGGCUUACCAAGGCAACGAUGCGUAGCCGACCUGAGAGGGUGAGCGGCCACACGGGAACUGAGACACGGUCCAGACUCCUACGGGAGGCAGCAGUAGGGAAGCUUCCGCAAUGGGCGAAAGCUUGACGGAGCAACGCCGCGUGAGUGAUGAAGGUCUUCGGAUCGUAAAACUCUGUUAUUAGGGAAGAACAAAUGUGUAAGUAACUAUGCACGUCUUGACGGUACCUAAUCAGAAAGCCACGGCUAACUACGUG